AAUUAUGUCACUAAUAACAACAAUGUUUUUGAAAUUACUAUGCUGCUGAACUGUGAUGCCGUGUAGUUUUAACCAUGUUAGUGUUGUUAAAAGCUAUUCCUUAUAUAGUUACAUUGACUACUACUUCAGUAAUGGCUAACGAAAAAUGUUCUCGAUUUUACCAUGUCCAUGGUAAAAAUAAGAACCUCAAGUGAGUUAUUUUUAGCGUGCGCUUACAUUUCGAUCUCACUUAUUUACUUUAGGACGCCAUUUGCCGUGCACCGGUCAAGUUGUUUUGUUUGUUUAUUUUUUAAUAUGUUAUUGAUGUUAAUUAAAAUAUAAAAUUAAGCAGGAAAGUGAUAAUAACAAGCUUAAAGUUAUCGUUGAUAAAAUUCUUGAAGAUACGGAGUUAAUUGAUGCCCGUGAUGAAAAUCCAGCGCUCCGCGAAUUGAUAGUUGACCAGUGGUACCUUGCGGUCAUCGACGAAGCGGCGCUAGCGGACAUUUUUUCAGUUUUGAAAUGCACGGGUCAUAAGCACGCCCUGCGAGCAAAACUGCAACACUGGUAGGAAAGUGCUCUAUACAAGCCGGAACAAACGAGUAGCUGCUCCCAUUCCCCAGGCUUUUCGACGAGUUCAAUACGAGGUCCAACACAUCCUCUUCUAUCGACAUCGGUCACAUUAAGUCUCCUAGAGGACAUUCUUGAAAGAAAUGAGAAGGGGAAGAUUGUGACUCAGUUCUACGGUUCUACCGAAUGCAACAACAGUUGGAUGCUUAACAUAGAAAACAUUUGGCACACACAGUAGUGGUUCAUUAUAUCGCAAAUGAAACCUACUUCCGAAUACCAGACAUGGCUCGGUUCGCGUAAUGUAUUACAGAGAAACUUUCACCAGAGCUCCCAGAAGUGUACUUCAACCCACGGGACGCAACGAUCGAUAACAGGAAAAUCUUUAAAGAAAAAGCUAUGAUACUGCCGAAGGAAGAAAUCAAAAGGCAAAGUUCCAUUAAAACAUGGCUCCGAAAUAACAAGCAUCCAGCAGAAAAAGUCACGAACCUCUGGUGAGAAUCAUUUUUACUACGCAUGCGGGAAAUUGUGGAGGAGACAGACGUGAAUAAGGCUCACGUAGUGGCUGAGUGGCCAAGACUAACUGAUGAAGACGGCUACUAUAUAACGUAUGGAAUUUUGUACUAUCGUUAGUUGAGCUCACUGCUUUGGUUUUGUUAUCUAAAUUCAUUUACUCAAUGUCCUAGAAAAAACAAAUAGAAUAUCAUCAUUUUCAUUAUAGAAAGCUUUUUGCUGAACCACUCAAACACAAAUAUCAUGUUUUGCUUCACUAUGUUCGAAACAUUAGAAAAAUAGGGCCUCCACGAUGCAUGUGGAGCUUCCGCUUUGAGGCAUUCCAUCUGAUUUUCAAAAGAUAUUGUGGAAAUAUAACCUCCAGAAGAAACAUUUGCUUCACGUUAUGUACAAAGGCAAAAAUGAUAUUUAUUCAUGCUUUGCGAUGCUAGAUACAAAUUUCAUCCUUUGCGAUGCUAGAUACAAAUUUCAUCCUUUGCGAUGCUAGAUACAAAGGAACUAUUAACAUUAAAUUUAUAAGCAGUUUCGACAGUGACGCACAAAGGCACUGAGUACAAGGCUGGUCUGUUCUUGACAGGUUCCGUGCACAAUAUGAGACAAGUUAAAUUGUAUGAAAUUAAAGAUAUAUUAGUUACUAACGACACAGUAAACGGUGCCUGUCACCAGUAGAGCGUAGAAGAAUAUUCUCAUCAUUUUGCGUCAUUUAAAGUUAGCAAACCUUUGGAAGUGUAUUGUACACUGCACGUGGAUACGUUUGAUGGGCCACCAAUUA